rnacentral:rRNA from 1 species
UACAGAGACCUCAAGCGUUAUCCGGAAUCAUUGGGCGUAAAGCGUACCGAUAGGUGGUUUUACAAGUCAGAGGUGAAAUCCCAAGGCUCAACUUUGGGACUGUCCUUUGAAACUGUACAACUAGAGGGGCAAAGAGGAAGCUGGAACGAACGGUGUAGUAGUGAAAUGCGUUGAUAUCGUUCGGAACACCAAUAGCGUAGGCAGGCUUCUGGGUGCCACCUGACACUGCUAGGACGAAAGCGUGGGGAGCGAAUGGG